rnacentral:rRNA from 1 species
AAGCCCCGUAACCGAAAACUGAACUGAGCUAGCUGUAUCCCGAGUAGCACGGAGCACGUGAAAUUCCGUGUGAAUCCGCGAGGACCACCUCGUAAGGCUAAGUACUACUGUGUGACCGAUAGCGAAACAGUACCGCGAGGGAAAGGUGAAAAGAACCCCGGGAGGGGAGUGAAAUAGAACAUGAAACCGUGAGCCUACAAGCAAUGGGAGCCCUACUUAUAGGGUGACCGUGUGCCUGUUGAAGAAUGAGCCGGCGACUUAUAGGCACUGGCGGGUUAAACCGGAAAUGGUGGAGCCAUAGCGAAAGCGAGUCUGAAUAGGGCGUUUGUCAGUGUUUAUAGACCCGAACCCGGGUGAUCUAACCAUGGCCAGGAUGAAGCUUGGGUGAUACCAAGUGGAGGUCCGAACCGACUGACGUUGAAAAGUCAGCGGAUGAGCUGUGGUUAGGGGUGAAAUGCCAAUCGAACCCGGAGCUAGCUGGUUCUCCCCGAAAUACGUUGAGGCGUAGCGUCUCGUGCUCCAGCAGGGGGGUAAAGCCACCAUUUCGGUGCGGGCUGCGAGAGCGGUACCAAAUCGAGAUGAACUCUGAAUACCCUGUGUGUAGCGAGGCAGUCAGACUGUGGGGGAUAAGCUCCAUGGUCGAGAGGGAAACAGCCCAGACCGCCAGCUAAGGUCCCCAAAUCAACACUAAGUGAUAAAGGAGGUGGGAUUGCAUAGACAACCAGGAGGUUUGCCUAGAAGCAGCCAUCCUCAAAGGAGUGCGUAAUAGCUCACUGGUCGAGCGAUCCUGCGCCGAAAAUGAACGGGGCUAAGUGUUGUACCGAAGCUGCGGAUUUAUGGUAGGGGAGCGUUCUAUGUGGGGCGAAGCGUUAGCGUGAGCGGGCGUGGACUGCAUAGAAGUGAGAAUGUCGGCUUGAGUAGCGAAAACAUGGGUGAGAAUCCCAUGCACCGAAACCCUAAGGGUUCCUCCGGCAGGCUCGUCCGCGGAGGGUUAGUCUGGACCUAAGGCGAGGCCGAAAGGCGUAGUCGAUGGAUAACAGGUCAACAUUCCUGUACCGGUCAUGUUUUGGGAAGAGGGACGGAGAAGGCUAGCCAAGCCAGAUGUUGGUUACUGGUUCAAGCGUUCGAGGCGUUGAGGAGCGGUGAAAACGGUCCGAGCUGAGGCGUGAGUACGAGCUGCUACGGCAGCGAAGUUGGUGACGUCAAGCUUCCAAGAAAAGCUCUAUACCCGUUAAGGCAUGACUGCCAGUACCCGAAACCGACACAGGUGGGGUGGUAGAGAAUACCGAGGGGCGCGAGAUAACUCUCUCUAAGGAACUCGGCAAAAUGGCCCCGUAACUUCGGGAGAAGGGGUGCCACCGCAAGGUGGUCGCAGUGAAGAGGCCCUGGCGACUGUUUACCAAAAACACAGGUCUCCGCUAAGUCGCAAGACGAUGUAUGGGGGCUGACGCCUGCCCAGUGCCGGAAGGUUGGCGACUGAAGCCCCGGUGAACGGCGGCCGUAACUAUAACGGUCCUAAGGUAGCGAAAUUCCUUGUCGGGUAAGUUCCGACCCGCACGAAAGGCGUAACGAUCAGGGCGCUGUCUCGGAGAGAGGCUCGGCGAAAUAGAAUUGUCUGUGAAGAUGCGGACUACGUACACCUGGACAGAAAGACCCUAUGAAGCUUUACUGUAGCUUGGUAUUGUGCCCGGGCUCUGAAUGCGCAGGAUAGGUGGGAGACGUUGAUCUCAUGCUUGCGGGUAUGAGUUAGUCACUGGUGAGAUACCACUCUUUCAGAGCUAGGGUUCUAACGUUCACCCGUUAUCCGGGGAGCGGACAGUAUCAGGUGGGCAGUUUGACUGGGGCGGUCGCCUCCUAAAAGGUAACGGAGGCGCACAAAGGUUUCCUCAGGCUGGUUGGAAAUCAGCUGACGAGUGCAAAAGCAGAAGGAAGCUUGACUGUGAGACCUACAAGUCGAACAGGGACGAAAGUCGGCUUUAGUGAUCCGACGGUUCUGAGUGGAAGGGCCGUCGCUCAACGGAUAAAAGUUACUCUAGGGAUAACAGGCUGAUCUCCCCCAAGAGUUCACAUCGACGGGGAGGUUUG